rnacentral:lncRNA from 1 species
CUUGUGAUGCUCUCAGUGUCCACUACUUUUAAUAUAUGUUUUUUUAACUUUAGGAAUGUCUAAAUUAAAUAUUGAGCCAUAUGAUGAAGAUCAAGGAACUGGAGAACUGAGAUAUGUGCAGGUGACUUGUAUUCAUGGAAAUAUUCUCUACUGUUCCUUGAUUAACUGUUGGCUAUCGUCAAUUCAAUAUUUUGUGAAGCUUAGCCUUUAACCCCUACCCCGUUCCUGGGAAAAAUAUAAUUAAAAACCAAAAAGUUUGUGAUGAAUGGUAAUUGAUGUGUUUCAUAUGUUAUUGACAAUGGUUAUAUGCAGAUGGCUGUGACUACAUACAACACGUCUCUACCUGCCUCUCAAAGAUACAAAAAUGGUUAGUAGCUUGGCUCAUAUUUCGUGGGGAAUGACAUUGAAAUUGUUGGACCUUAAAAGUUUCAACUCUUGGGCUUAUACUUUUGUUGAACAACCUCAGGCAAAGUGCAGGUUGCUUUGGUUUGGAACUCCAGAAAUGAAAACUCACCUAGUUCAGAAAAGUUAAAUGAUCUGGCCAGUGUAAGACCAUUGUGGACUUUUAACUGGCUUUCUUUGGUUUAAUGAAUCUCCUAUUGGCGAAGUAAUUGAUUCUGACUUUCAGUUCCUAUGGAGAAAUGGUGGGACAAAAGGGAAAGUCCAUUUAAUUCAUUCUGUCUGGGCUAACUUUCAGACAUCAACAAAUAAUGUAAGUACAACUCUCCCUCCUUCCCUCCCUCUCUCUCUCUCUCUCAUGUGCAGGGUGCAUUUUUUGCAUGUGUAUAAUUUGAGCAAGAUGCACAAAUGGUUAAAUAUAUGAAUAUGCAUAAAGAUUAAUGGUUAUUGGUUAAAUUCUCCUAGACAGAUUAAUGGUUUUAAUAGUUUUCUAAAGUGUCUAAUAUUAUAUACAGAUAUAUUGUACCUCUCUGAAGUACAUGCUUCAAUAGUUAUUGGUUAAAUUCUCCUAGACAAUUUUAUCUAUAUAUUCUCCUUUCUCUUGUUUUUUAGUUCUCAUGAGGACUAUAACAUGAAAAUAGUAGAGGCACAGAUGGUAGAAACAAUAAAGAAAUUAAAAAGUAAAAUUCUGUUCAAACUGAUUUGAUAAAAUCCUGCUGUCUGGGGGACAACGGGUCCAAAAAGCAAGAUGCUUCUCUUUCUCUUUCUGUGAGCAAUAAUUUUAAUAUCUUGGUGAUUUCUGUUUUGAUAAAUAAGGAGAAAAAAAGGCAGAUGGAGAAGCCAUUUAAUCAUAUGUAAUUAUCAUGAGAUUUAACUCAAAGAAAUUUGAGCUUUCAAAUUUGAUAAAGAAACCUCUGAAUCAAAAAUAACUAUUCUCUCAGUGACUUGUUUAUGAUAAAUCAUUCAAGAACUGGGCUAUUAUUCAUAAAUUUUUCUGUAGGAUUGCCUUAUGUAUUUUUCUGGCUGGUGUUGCAGAUUAUUUUUGGGAAUAGAUGGAGACAUCUUUUAGGUGAAAGAGACUUCUGGGAGCAUGUUGGAGGAAUUGAUGUUUCUCUGGCACCUUCAAGCUUUGGGCAAGCAAAUACACGGGUAGAAGUCUUGAUGAAAGAUACUUCAGUUAGUUAUUUGUUUGACGGAAUUUACUUCCAAUUAUCCCCACUUAUAUUCCAACUUUUGGUUGCUCUGUAUUAUUUGGGCACUUUUCAAGCAUUAGUGGCACAAAUAUGACUAACAGCACCUAGCAUACUGUCAAAAAACUUGUUUAGAUCACAACAUGAUAGUUGGUCUUUCUUAUCAGGCAUUUGAUUUUUUACUCCAUAAGUUACACAAGUGUGUUCCUUAUGGUGCAUCAGUUGUUGAUCUCUAUGCUGGAGCUGGUGUCAUUGGAUUAUCUUUGGCUGCCAUGAGGAAAUGCCGGUGAGAACAGGGAUGAUUUCAAGGUCCUUAAAUUUAAUUCAUGUUCUACCUGUCAAUAUGCAAGACACAAACCCUUUUAUAUAUUUCCACGUGUUUGUAGGUCAGUAAAAUGUGUUGAGGUUAAUAAAGAGUCAAAGGUUUCUUUUGAGAAGACAGUUGCUCGUUUAUCAGAAACCCUAGAUAGCAGCAUCAGCUGGCAUCAUGCAGACGCAUCAAAAGUUAGUGCUUCAUUUUUAUUCAUGCUUAUGUUGAUAUUUUACAUGUACAUAUCAUGAGUACUGACUAUCAUAUAUGUGCAUAUGUCCAAGUUCACUUAUGCAUGGGCAUAGAAAGUACACUCACAGAUGUCUAUUCCUUGACUACAUCUUUCUGGAAAUGCAUGCAUGCCCGUGUGAGCAUUAACACACACAGAUAUGAAGACAUCAGUUUCUUGCAUCGUCUAUCAAAUCUAAAUAUGAUCACAUGCACUUAUAUCGUAUUUUUAACUCUCUUUGCAAAGAUCUCCAAGUUUGUCUCUAAUCUAUUAUAUUUUCAGAUCUUGACAGUUUUCAUGCUGUAGUUUAGAAUAUGGCAUGAAUAAAAAGAGAAUUUUUCUUGGACUAUGUUCAUUGGAAUAGCAAAUAUUUAGUAAUACUUUUAUCCCCCAUCCUACCCCUCCAAAAAAAGCAUGGAAGGUUAAGGGAAAAGGGGGGUGGGGGGAUAGUAAAUGGAAACAUACCUUAUUUCUGCACUAAAGUUUUUGAUGCAAAACAUCUCCCAAUAGUAGUGGAGGCACUGAAAGAAGGCGCUUCCUUUCAUGCAGUCAGCUCAUGUCAAAUUCACUUGAUUUUGUGUCCGUGGUGCUGAUGCUGGAUCCUGAUGAAUAAAAAUGUAUUAUCUUCACAUGAAGUAAUAUGGGAUUUAGGAAUUAUUUGUCUGAAGUGGCAUGGGGGACUUGGUCUAUAGAUUCAAGAUUUGGUUCAGCAAUGAUUGAUCACUAGUGGAGUCUUUAUCUUCUGAAGACAUCCGUUUGAGAAAUAUCAACAAACUAGAAUCAUUUUAACCUUGGUACAGUGUGUGAAUUCUUUUGUAGUUGUCAUCUAUUUGUAACUUAUGCUGCCUUUGCAUUUCUUACUUGCACGCAUGACUGAAAUCAAUUAAGAAAUCCUGUGGAUAUACCUAGCAUUGAAGCUUGUUAUAGCCAUAUGAAAACUCUUGUUCUUUUCAAAACAUGGUCAGGAACCACUUUCUUGGCUCGUGGGUUCAGAUGUCGUAGUGGUUGAUCCUCCCCGGAAGGGGCUGGAUCUGUCUCUGCUGGAUACACUACGGUCUCUGUCAUCUUUGGAGCUCAAAGCCAAUCUUCCUGAAAGGUGUGGAACUUAGAUGGAUUCCUCACUUCUAAUUCUAAAUGUGCAAUCUCUAUUGGGUGGCAGAAACUAAAAAGUGAUAUGUUUGUGUGCUUACCCUUCAUUGGUUAUUCCAGUACCGGUGGGAAGGUAAAAAAUGAAAAAAGACCAUGGAUUCUGAGAGAGAGAGAAACUUCAGUGCAGGUUAAGAGCAGCACAGUACAAGAAGAAAGUCGGUCCUUGCCUGAAACUCUAAUUUAUAUAAGUUGUGGAUGGGAUAGUUUUAAAGAGGUGUGUUUACCCUUACUUCUCAUAGUUUAAAGAGCUGCUAAAUAAUAAAGAAAAAGUUUAAUCUUUAUUCAGUUGUUUGAUUUUUAGCUAGGCAAAAGUGUCACUGUCUGCUUGAGCUUCUAUUGCUGCCAUUUAACUUACAGGAUUGCAUGUCACUGCUCUCUUGUAAGGCCUGGUAUUUGGACAAAGCACAUGGCUUCAAUUUUUUCCCUGGAACACAAAGGUAUUCAUACCUCUCUCUCUCUCUCUCUCUCUCUCUCUCUCUCUCUCUCUCUCUCUCUAGCAUGUUAGAUAAGGAGGAUCGUAUAGAUUUGGACAAUACUAAAUAGGAAAAAGAAGCUAAAAAUCUUGUUCAUUAUAGUGUCCAAGCAUGUCCUGUACCAAAAAUGCACUUCAUGUGACCAAUGAAGCCAAGGCCUAGUUCAAGUAGCAAGACUGGAGCCUUCCCAGGUCAAUGGACUAGAUUCUAGCCUCCUUUUGUGGGGUGAAAUCCUUUAUCCCCCUUCUAAACCGGGGAGCCAAUAGAAGGUUUGAAUCGUCCCAUCUCCCAUGCCUUCUAGAAUUUGUGGGGUGCAAUCCUUUAUCCCCCUUCUUAAAAAAAAAAAAAAUGAGGAACUAAUAGAAGGUUUGAAUUGUCCCAUCUCCCAUGCCUCCUGAAACUUAUCCCUUAAUUUUAGUAGUUUGCCUUGUUUGUUGUACUUUUGAGUCAACCCUACCCAGUUGAGAAGAAGAGGGUCAGCCAAACUGCAAUCCACUUUGUACAUAUGCUGAGACCAAUCAAUCAUUUUAAAAUAGGAAAAGGAGCGGUGACCACUGAGGAUGGUCUAAUUAUUCAGUUUAUUGUGGGAUUGGGGUGCCUUGCGGGGUUUGCCACGAAGAGAAAGAUCCAUUCUCUGGGUUAUCUUACCAUGAGGAUUUUCUUUUCUGGAAAUAUGCUAUAUUCACAUGUUUGUGUUGCAUCAGCUAAUGACUCUGUUCUUUUAUUCAUUGGACUAAUUGUUUGGUUCCUAAUUUACCAAUCAAAUGCACUAUUAUUAAUGUAGCAUUGAGGUCCUGGCCGUGUUUAAAAGAGGCACUAAACCAAACAUCAAGAGAAGAAAAUCUGGAAAAAAGAAAAGGCCCUCUUGAGGUGCACUAUUUCAUCCUGUCGAGUAUUACGAGGGAUAAAAUGCUUCUCAUGAAAAGCCUAAAGAGAUGGUAUGGAGUAAAUGCACAACGAAAAGGAAGAAUAUCUAUUCAGUCACAUUUGAAUAGAAAGAAGUUCCAGACUGCAGUCUACACUGCCCUUAUGGAAAAAUAUUUUUUAUUUAGGCUGCUGGAUCUAACGAAAUAUAUAUACGAUAAACUGCACAUGUUUCAGAUAUUAUUUUGUAAUGAUGAACAUUUUAUGCACCCAUGGUUCCUUUUAUCCUUGUGAAAUUGGGACUAAGAGUAACAUUUUGUUAAAUUUAUUAAAAGCUUUUGCCAGAAGAAAAUGAACUUAUAGCACCUUAGCAAUUGAAUAGGAACAAUUUGCUGUUAUAUGAAGAUUUUUCCUUUCUAGUAUGUUUCUUCAAAGGUAUCCCAAGUUCUCUAAGUGAAAUAAUAAUUAAUAAGUAUAGUUUUUAUUU